rnacentral:rRNA from 1 species
UGCGUGGUAGUGGGGGACAACGUUUCGAAAGGAACGCUAAUACCGCAUACGUCCUACGGGAGAAAGCAGGGGACCUUCGGGCCUUGCGCUAUCAGAUGAGCCUAGGUCGGAUUAGCUAGUUGGUGAGGUAAUGGCUCACCAAGGCGACGAUCCGUAACUGGUCUGAGAGGAUGAUCAGUCACACUGGAACUGAGACACGGUCCAGACUCCUACGGGAGGCAGCAGCC